UAAAAACAAUGAAUACCUUUGGACUUGCUCAAUGAAGUCGUAAAGAAGAGAUGGUAGUAGAGUGAUAACCAUGUUUGUCACCACUAGUUUUGUGACAUUUAACUCUAUCCCUGAAACAAAAAAACUCAUUAAUAAAACCACUUUUUAUUAUCUUUAUACUUAGACUUUUUACAAGGAAUAUGCCGAAAAACAUUAGUCUUAAGUCUAGUAUCAAUGCAUGGAGUAGGAAAAAGUGCGGGCAGAAUAUAAUCAACAUCAUUGCUAUUCUUAAGAGAGCUCGACAUAACUAAGGAAGAAGAUGUCAAAUCUGUCUUAUUGGCCUCAUGUGCAAAAAAACAACAAUUAUAUUCUUCAUCCUUUUCAUGAUUAACCUUCUCUAAGGUCGCAAUUUGACAUAAUAAGUCCAACUUUUGUUUUUCAAAUAUUGCAGAGCAAGUAUUUGCAUCACUUAUAGCAUAACGAACUUGCUUUACUAAAAUAUUAUUUUUAUCCUGCAAAACAAGAAUACCUUUUCCAAAUCAUUGAUUUUGGAGUCAUAAACUUCCCCCUGAAGCAUAUAGUCGUCUGCACAAGAUCUGAGUCAUUGUUCUAAAGAAUCAAGCUUAGUCUACAAAACACCAUUAUCUUCAAAACAAAAAUUAUCAGAAAUAUCAAACAAAUUAGACAUAGUUUUAUUUAAUUUUUCCUACAAAUCAAUAUUAGCUUUUUGUAACCUUUCACAUUCUUUUGCAGAAAGUCAGUAAAGAAGAGCCCAAUCAUUAUUACUAACAACAUACAAAGCAUCAUCCUUUUCAAAAUCAUUUUUUGGUCCUAUGGAUUCAGACGAUUGAGCAAUAAAAUUAUCAUAAACAUACCCAUGAACCAUUAUUGCAUUGAUAGGAUCUACGCGUGAGCCAUUACGCUCCAUAACUAGCGCCCUGCGACUGAUAGCAAUUGAAAC
rnacentral:lncRNA from 1 species